GCUUAGGCAUCUGGAGAGUUGGGGUUGGCUCCGUGGAGAUAAAGGGAAGUGGGGGACUAGGCUGCGCCAGGAAAACAACCUAAAGGUUAAGGCUAAGGCCUUCCGAGGUGACCGACACGUGGUCUGGAUUAGAGCUGGGCCGGCCUUGGCUUGGGGAGGAGGCGGCGCCGGCCGCGUGUGGCCAUUUCUUUCCCCCCCGCGCUGGGUCACGUCGGUGCCACCCAGUCUGUCAGCGCCUCGGAGGAAGGGGGGUGUCGGAGGCUCUGACGGCCGGAGCGCGGCGGGAGCCCCCGGUCCAGAGAGAACUUCAGGACUGAGGUGCGGGAGAGGUUUGCUCUCACGAAGGAGUUGCGUUAAAGGCACAGGUCACGACUGUUGGGCAAAUAGGAAAGGCAUGUGCUUCAGACAUCUGGUUUACCUCAUAAGAAGGGAGCCAGGGAGAGUGAAAGUCGGCCCAGAGAGCACUUGGAAAGCUCGGCGUGUGUCGGAAAUCU